rnacentral:rRNA from 1 species
GAUCCUGGCUCAGAAUCAACGCUGGCGGCGUGCCUAACACAUGCAAGUCGCACGAGAAAGUGGAGCAAUCCAUGAGUAAAGUGGCGCACGGGUGAGUAACACGUGAAUCAUCUACCUUCGAGUGGGGAAUAACUGGGAGAAAUCUCAGCUAAUACCGCAUAAUACCUACGGGUCAAAGCAGCAAUGCGCUUGAAGAGGAGUUCGCGGCAGAUUAGUUAGUUGGCGGGGUAAUGGCCCACCAAGACGAUGAUCUGUAUCCGGCCUGAGAGGGCGCACGGACACACUGGAACUGAAACACGGUCCAGACUCCUACGGGAGGCAGCAGUGGGGAAUUUUGCGCAAUGGGGGAAACCCUGACGCAGCAACGCCGCGUGGAGGAUGAAAUCCCUUGGGAUGUAAACUCCUUUCGAUGGGGAAGAUUAUGACGGUACCCAUAGAAGAAGCCCCGGCUAACUUCGUGCCAGCAGCCGCGGUAAUACGAGGGGGGCAAGCGUUGUUCGGAAUUAUUGGGCGUAAAGGGUGCGUAGGCGGUCUGACAAGUCUGAUGUGAAAUCUAUGGGCUCAACCCAUAGUCUGCAUCGGAAACUGUCGGGCUUGAGUAUGGGAGAGGUGAGUGGAAUUUCCGGUGUAGCGGUGAAAUGCGUAGAUAUCGGAAGGAACACCUGUGGCGAAAGCGGCUCACUGGACCAU